rnacentral:rRNA from 1 species
CAGCGCCACAAGUGGAAGCCGUUAUUAUUGGGCCUAAAGCGUUCGUAGCCGGCUUUGUAAAUCUUUCGUGAAAUUGUUCAGCUCAACUGAACAACGUGCGGGAGACACUGCAUAGCUAGGGACCGGGAGGAGUCAGAGGUAUUCUGGGGGGAGCGGUAAAAUGCUAUAAUCCUCAGCAGACCACCGAUGGCGAAGGCAUCUGACUAGAACGGAUCCGACGGUGAGGGACGAAAGCCAGGGGAGCAAACCGGAUUAGAUACCCGAGUAGUCC